UUGGUUUCAUUUUCAUGUAUUGAAAUAGGGAUGCUGAAUCUAACCAGCGCCAUCUUAGCCACAUGGUGGAUGAUAGGGUAUUGAGUUUGAC